rnacentral:rRNA from 1 species
CACGGGGGGAGCAAGCGUUGUUCGGAAUCACUGGGCGUAAAGGGCGCGUAGGCGGCCGAGCGGGUCGUGGGUGAAAUCCCCCAGCUUAACUGGGGAAGUGCUUACGAUACCACUGCGGCUGGAGGAAGGCAGGGGCACUUGGAACUGUCGGUGGAGCGGUGAAAUGCGUUGAUAUCGACAGGAACGCCGGUGGCGAAAGCGGAGUGCUGGUCCUUUUCUGACGCUGAGGCGCGAAAGCCAGGGGAGCAAACGGG